rnacentral:rRNA from 1 species
UGAAUACCAGACGCUACGGCGUUGAAGCAGUGUAUGUCAGACUUCCAAGAAAAGCUCGCAAUGUCCGAAAUAAAAUAAUGCCUGUACCAUAACCGACACAGGUGGGUAGGUAGAGUAUACUAAGGGGCGCGAGAUAACUCUCUCUAAGGAACUCGGCAAAAUAACUCCGUAACUUCGGGAGAAGGAGUGCCUUAUUUUAAGGUUGCAAUAACAAGAUCCAAGCAACUGUUUACCAAAAACACAGGUCUCCGCUAAGUCGUAAGACGAUGUAUGGGGGCUGACGCCUGCCCAGUGCCAGGAGGUUAAAGAAGUUGGUUAGCUAUUGCGAAGCUGAUGACUGAAGCCCUGGUGAACGGCGGCCGCAACUAUAACGGUCCUAAGGUAGCGAAAUUCCUUGUCGGGUAAGUUCCGACCCGCACGAAAGGCGUAAUGAUUUGGAUACUGUCUCGGAGAGGGGCUCGGUGAAAUAGACUUGUCUGUGAAGAUGCGGACUACCUGCACCUGGACAGAAAGACCCUAUGAAGCUUUACUGUAACUUGAAAUUGAAAUUGGACUUUAUUUGCGCAGUAUAGGUGGGAGGCGUUUGAAGAUAUUCUUGCGGGAAUGUUGGAGCCAUUAGUGAGAUACCACUCUUGUAAUGUUAGAUUUCUAACUUUGUACCAUGAUCUGGUCAAAGAACAGUUUCAGGCGGGCAGUUUGACUGGGGCGGUCGCCUCCCAAAUGGUAACGGAGGCGUACAAAGGUUUCCUCUGAACGUGUAGAAAUCGUAUCUAGAGUGUAAAGGCAUAAGGAAGCUUGACUGUGAGACCUACAAGUCAAGCAGGGACGAAAGUCGGUCUUAGUGAUCUGACGGUACUGAGUGGAAAGGCCGUCACUCAACGGAUAAAAGUUACUCUAAGGAUAACAGGCUGAUCUCCCCCAAGAGUUCACAUCGACGGGGAGGUUUGGCACCUCGAUGUCGGCUCAUCGCAUCCUGGGGCGGUAGUACGUCCCAAGGGUUGGGCUGUUCGCCCAUGAAAGCGGUACGCGAGCUGGGUUCAGAACGUCGUGAGACAGUUCGGUCCAUAUCCGGUGUAGGCGUUAGAAUAUUGAGAGGAGCCUUCUUUAGUACGAGAGGACCGAGAAGGACAUACCUCUGGUGUACCAGUUAUCGUGCCAACGGUAAACGCUGGGUAGCUAUGUAUGGAGAGGAUAACCGCUGAAAGCAUCUAAGUGGGAAGCCCACCUCGAGA